rnacentral:rRNA from 1 species
GACGAACCGUGCGAACGUUGUUCGGAAUCAUUGGGCUUAAAGGGUGCGUAGGCUGGUCAGUCAGUCUGUGGUGAAAUCCUCCGGCUCAACCGGAGAAUUGCCGUGGAUACUGCUGAUCUCGAGGGGUGUAGGGGUAUGGGGAACUCAGGGUGGAGCGGUGAAAUGCGUAGAUAUCCUGAGGAACGCCGGUGGCGAAAGCGCCGUACUGGACACCUUCUGACGCUGAGGCACGAAAGCCAGGGGAGCAAACGGG